CACGGGCGAGGGCGUGGCGUUCGUGGCCGCGUCGGCCGACCGCUUCCUAGCGGACGCUGGGCUCCUCGACCCGCCCUCCGGCGCGCCGCUGUUGGACGAGCUCGCCGUAGGCCUCGGCGUCGAGGGGUUCCGCCCCUCGGACCCGUUGCUGCUUGUGUAGGGUCACGGAGUUCGCCUGCGGCGGGUUUGUUAUCACGGUCAUGCGGAACCACGCCGUCACACCUUCGCGGAGACAAAUGGCUCCCUCCUCUAAUCCUCCGACGACGAGGGCAAGUACGAGAAUGAGGAGGAGGACGGCGACGACGAUGCCGCCGCGGGGGAGGCCCGGCCCCGCGCCGUUGCCGGCCAGUCGAGCGGCUCCCUCUCCCCGGCGCACUGGAGGGGUGGCAGAUCCCGCGGCUUCUACAGGUGCGGGAAAGGGGGCGGCUUCUGGGGCCGCAACAAGGAGUCGUGCCUUGCCUGCGGGGCGCGGUACUGCGUGGGGUGCGUCCUCCGGGCGAUGGGCACCAUGCCGGAGGGGCGGCGCAAGUGCCUGGACUGCAUCGGCCGGCCCGUGGCCGAGUCCAGAGCGACUGAGAGCAGCAGCGAACUAGGGCGCUGAUAAUCCUCGUCUGCUCCAAUUUGGGGGCCACUCCUUAUCCGUUAUUCCACUACCAGCAAUCGAGUGACUGCCUCUUGAAUUGCUGCCUUGUUCUUGGAAAGAUUACAGCUUCCUGGAGGAGACCAAGCAGGCCAGGGAGUCGGCGCAUAUGUUCAUCGUUGGCUUCGGCCGCAACUUCAAGGGUGGGGCAGCUGCCCAACUGGUUAUUUUUCCUCCGCAAGGUCACACAACGCAGGGGCGACAGGGGUAUAUCAGAAGAGAGCAUAACCGUUUCCCACACAAUCACAAGUGCCUUGGCUUUUCUGCUCUAAAAAUAUUUUUUCCCCCUCUAGCUCCGUGUCUGUAUUGCAAUUCUUGGCCUGCAUGUUCAAAAUUCCUUGCCAUCACAAUGAUGUAUUGCUGCUGAGAUCUUCAGCAGGUUUGCUUUGCCAUCCUUGCUUUCUUGUGGAGAUGGAUUCCGAUUCGGCUCAGCUUUGCUUUGUUCCAAUAUUUGGGUGCUUGCUUGAUAGAUAAAAGAUGUAAUGGGACUUGCAUGAAUCAUUGUGUAGUGCAGUUACCACUAGAAGUUAAUCUGUAUUAGUUGUGUUAGGUCAUAGGUUCUAUUAGUAGGCGUGUUCUCAAUAUGCUACUUGCAUCUACGACUAACUGAUGGGGAAGAACCGUGGUUGGCCAUUUGGGUUUGUGGCAAAUGUCUUGUGUGUCCAAGAAGUUGAGGCAGCUUUGAACAGUUCAGUGGCACCUUGAUGCUCUUUUCAGGCAAAUGUACUUGCAACUAAGAUACUGCUGAACACCAUUUGCGUCUCCUGUAUAUUCAUAAUGCUUGCUUGGUACAUGUAUGUUCAACUUGACUGCUACUUGCUACUUGAUAGUUGUAUAUAUUCGCUUGUCUGCUCUGGACAGUGUAUGA